rnacentral:rRNA from 1 species
GUAACGGCGAGUGAAGCGGCAACAGCUCAAAUUUGAAAUCUGGCCCUAGCGGUCCGAGUUGUAAUUUGUAGAGGAUGCUUUUGGCGCGGUGCCUUCCGAGUUCCCUGGAACGGGACGCCUUAGAGGGUGAGAGCCCCGUACGGUUGGACGCCUAGCCUCUGUAUAGCUCCUUCGACGAGUCGAGUAGUUUGGGAAUGCUGCUCUAAAUGGGAGGUAAAUUUCUUCUAAAGCUAAAUACCGGCCAGAGACCGAUAGCGCACAAGUAGAGUGAUCGAAAGAUGAAAAGCACUUUGAAAAGAGGGUUAAAUAGCACGUGAAAUUGUUGAAAGGGAAGCGUUUGCGACCAGACUUUUUCCGGGCGGAUCAUCCGGUGUUUUCACCGGUGCACUUCGCCCGGUUUAGGCCAGCAUCGGUUCUCUUAGGGGGAUAAAGGCUUAGGGCACGUGGCUCUUUCGGGAGUGUUAUAGCCCUUCGCGUAAUACCCCUCGGGGGACCGAGGAACGCGCUCUGCAAGGAUGCUGGCGUAAUGGUCGUCAACGACCCGUCUUGAAACACGGACCAAGGAGUCGAACAUUUGUGCGAGUGUUUGGGUGUUAAACCCUCACGCGUAAUGAAAGUGAACGGAGGUGAGAGCCCCUCGGGGUGCAUCAUCGACCGAUCCUGAUGUCUUCGGAUGGAUUUGAGUAGGAGCAUAACUGUUCGGACCCGAAAGAUGGUGAACUAUGCGUGGAUAGGGUGAAGCCAGAGGAAACUCUGGUGGAGGCUCGCAGCGGUUCUGACGUGCAAAUCGAUCGUCAAAUCUGCGCAUGGGGGCGAAAGACUUAUCGRACCAUUAAACCAGCGGUAACUAACGAUUUACUAGGUGGUUAAGAGGCAUCCCGGGAGGGGUGCCUAGGUCAUCUGGGACGACCUACCCUGGAGUUACCCUGUAGUUACCCUGUAGCGGGGUAACGCGGGGUAGUCGAGCUACCCUGUAGCUACCCUGGAGUAGAGAGUUCCGGCCGACACCGCUAAAUUGCGGGGACGUCCUAUCAGAAGGCCGUAGGCUACCGCCGCGCGCUGAAAAGCGCCGCGGCACCAAGAAUAGCGCUCUUGGGUACGGUAAUAACGCCUGCGGUAACGGAUAACCUGCAGCCAACCCCGCGCACUACAGGGGAGAGUUCACUGACUAAAUAGCGGUGGGUCAGCCGUAAGCUGGCUUAAGACAUAGUCGAUCCGGGCCCUGAAAAGGUGCCUAGCUUAAACAUAACUUAGCGGAGCUAGUAGCUGGUUACCGCCGAAGUUUCCCUCAGGAUAGCAGUGUUGUCUUCAGUUUUAUGAGGUAAAGCGAAUGAUUAGGGACUCGGGGGCGCUAUUUUGCCUUCAUCCAUUCUCAAACUUUAAAUAUGUAAGAAGCCCUUGUUACUUAAUUGAACGUGGGCAUUCGAAUGUACCAACACUAGUGGGCCAUUUUUGGUAAGCAGAACUGGCGAUGCGGGAUGAACCGAACGCGGGGUUAAGGUGCCAGAGUGGACGCUCAUCAGACACCACAAAAGGUGUUAAUACAUCCAGACAGCAGGACGGUGGCCAUGGAAGUCGGAAUCCGCUAAGGACUGUGUAACAACUCACCUGCCGAAUGUAUUAGCCCUGAAAAUGGAUGGCGCUCAAGCGUCUCACCCAUACCUCGCCCUUAAGGUAGAAACGAUGCCUUAAGGAGUAGGCGGCCGUGGAGGUUAGUGACGAAGCCUAGGGCG